CGGCAGGUAAACACCGGGCCUUGCGCAACAGCUCACCUGGUUCUCCAGCUUCCCAGCUCGGGUCUGGGGGAGGAGGGCGGGGGACGCGCGCGCCCGGGUCCUCGGGGCGAGCAGGUGCUCGGGAGGGGGCGCUCUGGGGCCAAGGCCGCACCGUGGGGGCGGGGGUCGCCUCCUUGUCACCCCUCUGGCGCCCCAAUCUCAUCUCCGCCCCGGGCCUGUGCUGAGCCGGUGGGCAGAGCGCCCGGGCUCGCUUUCGGCGUGUGCGCCCACAUCGCCGGGGUGUGAGUCACUCCAGGCGGCCGGCACACCCACUUCCCCGGAGUUGGAGGCGGGAGCGAGGAUCCAGGCCUCGGUCUGGUGUGUGCUGUCACUGCUGGCAGAGGACAGAAGUAUGAGAGAACAACCAGCGAGAGACGUGUGAGAAGCACUCAGCCUAACACUGUUGACUUUGAACACUGAGGAAAGGGCUGCGUGCAGAGGAAGCGGACGGCCCCUCGGAGCCGGAAAAGGAAGGCAAUGGACUCCAGGAGGCCUCCAGUCCUGCGGAUGGCUUGAUUUUCACCCAGUAGGACCCACUUUCGACUUCUGAACUGCAGGACUGUGAGCUAAGGACUCUGCUGUUUACAACGUGCAGCCGUCCCAAGAAUUGCUGCACAUACUCUGGGGAGACAGCCCUGAUGGGAAGGGGGCUCGAGGCAGACAGAGGAUGAAGUUUCCAGCAGAUCAACCUGAUACUCAUGGACAUGACCCCGGUUGCAAGGCUGGCACCCUCCCAGCCCGCGCUCUGUAGCAGCUCUGAGCUGAGAGGAUGACUCAGAUUCCUGGGGUUAAGGAUUUGCUUUCAGGUAGAGCUGCUGAAAUUCAGACCCACUGCCUCCACCCCUGUGUUCUUUCCCUGAGGCGUUAUGUCCUGUCUUCUGAGACUUGAUUUUCUCUUUCCUGUCCCCCUCCUUGAAGCCCCUGCUCAGGGCUAAUGGUGCCUGUGGCGGGGGGGGGGGGGGGGGGGGGGGGGGGGGGGGGUCCUCCCUCACCUUUAUCCUGGAUGCUCAUUUGUUCUGUGUCCUUCUGACCACCCCCCCCAACACACACACAGCAAUGUCACUUUAUCCACCCUUUAAACUGCCCUACAACAUUCCAUACUCAUUCUUCCCUCCAGUGUGUCCCCAGACCUCCUCAUCCCGCCUCCCCCCCCCCCCACCCCCGCCCCCAGCAGAGUCCCCUUAGGGGCCAUGCAUUUGCUCCUGCAUCCAAGUGGGCUCCCAGCAAGCACUUGCUGAGUCCAGCACUGUGCUGGGAACUCUGGUACAGGGUGAGCAGGCCAGCCAUGGUCCCUUGUCCUCUGGCAAAUUAGAUUCUGUUGGGAAAGACUAACCAUAAGCAAGUAAACAAAUAAAUGAACAAGAUAAUUAUA